rnacentral:lncRNA from 1 species
UUGAACCCGGGAGGCAGAGGUUGCAGUGAGCCGAGAUCGUGCCACUGCACUCCAGCCUGGCGACAAAGCAAGACUUCAUCUCAAAAAAAAAAAAAAAAAAAAGUCAUAUACGAGAAAGAUACUUGCUCACACAAAUUUACAGCAGCACAAUUCGCAGUUGCAAAUAUGUGGAACCAACCCAAAUGCCCACCAAUCAACAAGUGGAUAAAGAAACUGUGGUAUAAAUAUAAUGGAAUAUGACUCAGCCAUAAAAAGGAAUGAAAUAAUGGCAUUCGCAGCAAGUUGGUUGGAAUUGGAGACUAUUAUUCUAAGUGAAGUAACUCAAGAAUGGAAAACCAAACAUCUUAUGUUCUCACUUAUAAGUGGAAGCUAAGUUAUGAGGAUGCAAAGGCAUAAGAAUGACACAAUGGACUUUGGGGACUCGGGGAAAGGAUGGGAAGGGGGUGAGGGAUAAAAGACUACAAAUUGAACCAGGCACGGUGGCUCACCCUUUUAAUUUUAAAACAAAAUAAAAUAUACAAAAGGCUAACUGAACAAAGGCAACCUAGACAAUGAGCUAAUUCCAAUAUUUUAGGAAAACAGGAAAUGUGAAUACGGACUACACUUCUGAAACA